GUGGGGAGCCUGUCACCGUCGAAAGGGAUCCAGAGAUCCCGAGAAGACUUGCAAGAGGACCGGCGAGUGUGUGAGGAAUGAAGAGAAGUGAGAAAGCACAGACUUGCUCUGUGACUGACCUGCUGCAGGGCUGGCUAAUAUAUCCAGGCUCCCAAAUGAUGGGAUGACCUUUCCACCUCAGCCAGGACUGCAGCGUCACUCACAGCAUGAACUGAAAACUCAUCUCCUCGCUGAACACUUCGCAUCGCUCUCCACUCCACCUUCCUCCUUCACUUGCAUCUGAUUUGAAUCCUGCCUUACAAGAAAGGGGAAGUCCCAGGGUGGUUUCCUUCAUCCAGGCAUUGAGGACAAGAGCUUGUCAAAACCUCAGCAGGAGUCCAGUGAAGGCUCUCUGUGGCCUGCUCUUGCUCCCAGCAUGGCACGGCUGCAGCACAGAAACCACAGAGGAAUAUUCUGUCCUCAGGAGAAGAGGAUCAAGCUUCUGUGAAAGAGACAACUUCAGAGACCUGCGGAAGAAUGGAGAGGAGAGGAAAGGAGAGGAGAAGGAAGGAGAAGAGGAGAGCUAAGCUAUUGAUGAGUUUUUCUCUCCCACGGCCCUCCACCAUGCAGCCCCUGGCCGUCUGGACACCCGCCACGUGUGAACAAGCUUUCAGCUCACAUCAUCUUCUCCACUUCCACCUAUAAUUGGCCAUAUGUGUCACCAGCACCCUGCUGCUGCCGCCGCUGCUGCUGCUGGAGGGAAGGAAAGGGAGAUCACAGCUUUGACAAGUUUCUCCACUAGCCUACAGCACCUGAGUGUCCAGCAGCGUCAGGAGUGGAACCAGGCUGAGGCACUGGGGAGGCCGAAUGAGGUGGCUUCAUCCCCUUCUAAAGGAAUGGAAGAGGAGGGCACUGGCACAGUGUCUGGCCUCAUGACUUAGUGAGACACAUGGGACCUCUAGAGACGGGCCACCAUCUGGUGUCUGUCAUUGAACUAGCUUGACACCAUGACGAGAAACACAGAGGCUUUUACAAUGUAUGUCUGCCUCUCUUUCUGUCCUUUUGCGUCAAUGACUUGGACUUACAAAGACUGACAACAGCCAGCAACCCUCCCUCCUCGUCUGCUCUCCAACCCC